rnacentral:rRNA from 1 species
GUCUAUGGCCAUGCCACCGUGAACAAGUCCGAUCCCAUCUGAUGUCGAAAGCUAAGCAGGGUCGGGCAUAGUUAGUAACUUGGAUGGGAGACCACCUAGGAAGACCUAGGAAGGUGCUGUAAGCA